CCUACGGGUGGCUGCAGUGGGGAAUAUUGGACAAUGGGCGCAAGCCUGAUCCAGCAAUGCCGCGUGUGUGAAGAAGGCCUGCGGGUUGUAAAGCACUUUAAGCAGGAAAGAAGGGGUGGAAGUUAAUACCUUUCAUCAUUGACGUUACCUGCAGAAUAAGCACCGGCUAACUCCGUGCCAGCAGCCGCGGUAAUACGGAGCGUGCAAGCGUUAAGCGGAAUUCCUGGGCGUGGUGCGAUCAGAGGGGGUUGAAAGCCCCGGGCUUAACCUGGGAACUGCGGUGGAUACUGUCGAGCUAGAGUGUGGUAGAGGGGAGUGGAAUUUCCGGUGUAGCAGUGAAAUGCGUAGAGAUCGGAAGGAACACCAGUGGCGAAGGCGGCUCCCUGGACUAACACUGACGCUGAGGUGCGAAAGCGUGGGGAGCAAACAGGAUUAGAUACCCGUGUAGUC
rnacentral:rRNA from 1 species